AGUGAUACGACAACGUUUCAAAGUGAGGUUAUCUAUAUGCAAAAAUCAACCCAACCCCAUUCUUCUGCCCCGAUAGCUCUCACUCUUGUUUGUUUGUGUGACUUGACUCCCUAGCAAGCACCAUUCUUCAACCCAGCUUCCAUUCCCUCUGCGCGCGACUCCAUUGAAUGACUCUUCUCCCAUCGGUGUGACUGCCCAGCCCACUUCGACAGCCGAGCUCUUAACCAAUGACGUAGUCGACUCUCUCAACGCCAUAUCUAUUUUUCCUUUUUUGAAAUCAUUUUGAUUUCCUUGUUUUGCAUUUCGGAAAUAGGGUUUUUAUUUAUUUUCUUUUAAUGAAUAUGUUAUGAAAGCUCAAUUUUGUUUCGCUGUUAAAGAUUUUCUCUUAUUUGUAUCGAAUCUGCUCUGGUCUUCUUCGCCAUUGAAGACCAGCAUUUCACAAAGUGCAAGCUCAACUCGGUGUGGAAGCUUUUGCUGAUGCCCAACUUGUGAUUCCCAAGAUACUUGCUGAGAACUCUGGUCUUGACACAUAAGAUGCGAUCAUAGCACUUAUGGAUAAAAUAAUAGCGGCGGAUCCCGCCGCUAAUGCUUAUGAAUACAAAUCAAAUUGGCACCACCUCUUCGCGUCUGUUCUCCUUUCUUCUUCUCUGAUUCCUCCGUCUUCUCCGACUGCCAUUCGCACCAUUUCUUCUUCUCCGAUCAUUCCCUUUGGUACACAGAGAAGUAGCAAGUUCUCUCUCUCUUUGGCCAUUUCCAUCAUUUGGCCACACACGGCUGUGCCAGCCACAAACAGUUGAUGUCGCUGCCAACGAGAAUAGAGAACCAUAAUCGAUGUGAGAGUUGCAUUGAUCUUGGAGUGUUUGGAAGCUGCCAAAGCCUAGUUAGUUAAAAAUGAACGUUGAUGGUGUUGUUUGUGUGAGACGGGGUCUUCUUGGGUUUGAGGUUGUCGUUCGAGAUGACUGGGGCUGUUUGGUUUAUUACUUUACUCACCAUGUGCAUUCGAAUCAAACACCCUAUACACGACCGAGUUUGCAUGGCUUGCUUGGAGGCAUUGAAAUGAUGUUUUCAGAGUGGAUCACCAUUCAUUCGUUAGAGAGCGACUGUCGAAAUGUUAUUUGGGCCGUUCAAAGAAGUAGAGAUAGUUUUGUAAAUAAUAUAAUUGUUGGGGAUAUCCACCAUUUUCUGUAUUAUUUUUGUUAAGUUGGUUCAUGUCAUUUUGUUCCCCGUGAAGAAAAUAAAAUAUAAUACCCCAUUUAUUGGCAAAACUUAGUCUCAUGGAUGCUCU